GAUGAACGCUGGCGGCGUGCCUAAUACAUGCAAGUCGAGCGAACAGACGAGGAGCUUGCUCCUUCGACGUUAGCGGCGGACGGGUGAGUAACACGUAGGCAACCUACCUAUAAGACUGGGAUAACUUCGGGAAACCGGAGCUAAUACCGGAUAAUAUUUCGAACCGCAUGGUUCGAUAGUGAAAGAUGGCUUUGCUAUCACUUAUAGAUGGACCUGCGCCGUAUUAGCUAGUUGGUAAGGUAACGGCUUACCAGGGCAACGAUACGUAGCCGACCUGAGAGGGUGAUCGGCCACACUGGAACUGAGACACGGUCCAGACUCCUACGGGAGGCAGCAGUAGGGAAUCUUCCGCAAUGGGCGAAAGCCUGACGGAGCAACGCCGCGUGAGUGAUGAAGGUCUUCGGAUCGUAAAACUCUGUUAUUAGGGAAGAACAAACGUGUAAGUAACUGUGCACGUCUUGACGGUACCUAAUCAGAAAGCCACGGCUAACUACGUG
rnacentral:rRNA from 1 species